rnacentral:lncRNA from 1 species
AGCAAUUUGGAUGUCUGCAUAAAAGCAGACUUGUUUUUUUUUCUCUCCACUUCUGGCUCCUGGAAAUAAUAUUCUCUUAACCUUUUGGAAUUAAACCAGCCAAAUAGAGUGUAACAUGUUUCUUAAUCAUUUGGGCCACCUUCUCCUUUCUGAAUGGAUGUUGGUUUCAGUGGGAAUGUUUUCUGUGGUUGUGGAUCAUUGAGAAGAUGGUGCUGAUUUGCUCUGGUAAGCUGAAGGAACAACCAGGCACGUGGCAUGAAGUGAAAUAAGGACAAAUGCAAGAGACAUCCUGGAGACAGGCAACUGAGGACAAAGAAAGUCUGUGGGGAAAGGGUGGUGAACCAGGUGCCCACCUGCCAGCAUUAUUGCUGAGGCACAUCUCAGCCAGGUUUGAGGUGAAGGCCAAAAUAGAAAUUGCCAUCAAGCUCCAGAUGAUCCUCAGUGAGGGAUACCGCUCUCUCAGUAUUCAAGAGUCACCCUUCCACAGAGAAGCCCUAGACUGCCCAUCAGUGGAAUAUGAGAGAGAGCCAGAGCCUUCAGACCAAGACAAUCGAACAUCCCUGGAUAUCUGAGAUAGCCAGCCUUUCUUCUGGAGAGCUUCCCAGUUGGCAUGAUGACAACGUAUUUGGCCCUGGCAAUAGAUUAUGGCUGGUACAAACCAGUUCUCAGGAUAUCUUACAACUAGAGGCAGCCUUAAGACCCUGUUUUGUCGAGAAUACCUACUUGGAAGUCUAGUCAAAAGAGUGGCUCACUCUAGUUUCACUUCAUCUUUUUUGUUGGGCUGUCCUAAGAGUGUCAAGAAGAAACAGCAUCCAGAAACAUGUUUUUUUCUACCAUUUCUCCUGAAGCAAAAGCCUUCAUCAGCCUCUGGUCAUUUCACUAAGGAACAACAGGCAACAGUUGCAUCAAAUGUUUAAAGAGAAUCACCAACUCUGUCCAGCUGCAAUGCUGGACUCCUCAAAUAGCCCAUAGCCCUGCCUUCUUCACCCCUCUCAUUUUGUUAUCUUUUUUUUUUUUUACUUGCAAAACCCUAAAUCCAGGUAACAAAUCCUAUACAUAUUAGAGUUAUCUGGGGCUCCAUGAAACAAAAUCCCAACUAAACAUAUUAUUCCUUACCUAAACAAGAGGAGUCUAUUUUGCAUAUUUUUCUUCCAAGCAUGUUUAUUCUCCAAAUAUAUACUUUUUGUUCCUGUAACAAAAGUCUGCAUGGAGACAGCCCAGGUUUGGGACUCUAGCUUCACAAUGCCAUCCGUUUCCUGGGCUUUCUGCUUUCCUCUCUGCCAUCAUUGGCAGAGCCGUCCGUCCUCACGCUGCCACCUCAGUGUCACAAUGGCUGUUCCAUUUUCAGCAACAGACAUUCUUUCUUUGUGAGAUUAUAGAAACUUUGGUUAUCUCUCCCACCCACUCUAUGUUAAAAACAAGAAAAGCCAAUAAAAAACUAACAUU